rnacentral:rRNA from 1 species
UACGUAGGGGGCAAGCGUUGUCCGGAUUUAUUGGGCGUAAAGAGCGUGUAGGCGGCCAUACAGGUCCGUUGUGAAAACUCGAGGCUUAACCUCGAGACGUCGAUGGAAACCGUAUGGCUAGAGUCCGGAAGAGGAGAGUGGAAUUCCUGGUGUAGCGGUGAAAUGCGCAGAUAUCAGGAAGAACACCCGUGGCGAAGGCGGGUCUCUGGGCCGAUACUGACGCUGAGGAGCGAAAGCGUGGGGAGCGAACAGG